UGCAAUGGUGCGAUCUCGGCUCACCGCAACCUCCGCCUCCCAGGUUCAAGGGAUCUUCCUACCUCAGGCUCCUGAGUAGCCAGGAUUACAGGUGCAUGCCACCGUGCCCGGCUAAUACUUUGCAUUUUUGUAAAGACGGGGUUUCACCAUGUUGGCCAGGCGGGUCUCGAACCCCUGACCUCAAGUGAUCGGCCGCCUAAGCCUCCAAAGUGCUGGGAUUACAGGCAUGAGCCACCGUGCCCAGCCUUCCUUCAUCUACUUAUUUUCCUGUGAUGCCUCCAUGUUUUAGAGUAUGUGUCUGAGGGGCAGGAAUAUGUAUUAGAUAUAUCUAGGGCAGUCCCACCAGCUUUACAUUCUUGAGACCUCAUCCAUCAGUUCUUGUUUUGCAGACAUAUACUUCUAUUGACUACAAUGAGAAGUGUGUCUCUUAAAAAGGUAAGUCUGGCCGCGCGUGGUGGCUCACGCCUGUAAUCCCAGCACUUUGGGAGGCAGAGGCAGGUGGAUCACGAGGUCAGGAGAUCGAGACCAUCCUGGCUAACACGAGGAAACCCCGUCUCUACCAAAAAUACAAAAAAUUAGCUGGGCAUGGUGGCGAGCGC
rnacentral:lncRNA from 1 species